UGGGGAAUAUUGCACAAUGGAGGGAACUUUGAUGCAGCGACGCCGCGUGAGUGAUGAAGGAAUUCGUUUCGUAAAACUCUGUUCUAUGGGAAGAAAAGGACUGUACCAUAGGAGAAAGCUCCGGCUAAAUACGUGCCAGCAGCCGCGGUAAUACGUAUGGAGCGAGCGUUGUCCGGAAUUAUUGGGCGUAAAGGGUGCGCAGGCGGCUUUACAAGUUGGAUGUGAAAUAUUGUGGCUCAACCACAAACGUGCAUCCAAAACUGCAAAGCUUGAGUUAAGGAGAGGUAAGUGGAAUUCCUGGUGUAGCAGUGGAAUGCAUAGAUAUCAAGAGGAAUACCGGUGGCGAAGGCGACUUACUGGACUUAAACUGACGCUCAAGCACGAAAGCGUGGGGAGCAAACAGG
rnacentral:rRNA from 1 species